rnacentral:rRNA from 1 species
GAUGAACGCUAGCUACAGGCUUAACACAUGCAAGUCGAGGGACCGGCGCACGGGUGAGUAACACGUAUCCAACCUGCCCUUUACUCGGGGAUAGCCUUUCGAAAGAAAGAUUAAUACCCGAUAUAAAGGAUGGGGAUGCGUUCCAUUAGGUUGUUGGUGAGGUAACGGCUCACCAAGCCUUCGAUGGAUGGGGGUUCUGAGAGGAAGGUCCCCGACAGUGGAACUGAGAUACGGUCCAAAGUCCGACGGGAGGAAGCAGUGAGGAACAUAGGUAAAUGGGCGCUAGCCUGAACCAGCCACGUAGCGUGAAGGAUGAAGGCGUAUGGGUCGUAAUCUUCUUUGAUAGAAGAAUAUGUAUUAUAUGAAUAAGGAUCGGCUAACUCCGUGCCAGCAGCCGCGGUAAUUC